rnacentral:lncRNA from 1 species
CUUGGACUCAAAAUCUACUUUAUUACUUGUUAACGAACCGAACACUUGCGAUGAUUUUAAUUCGAAAGAUAAUUUCGUGAACAAAUCUUUGGCGCUGUUGCCGGAGACUGUAUUUUAGUUUAAUUUCAUUUAUCUUAGCACUAAUUCGAACUUUUUUUUCUUUUAUUUAUUUUUAUUAUUAUUUUACAGUUAUUUUAGAAUUUUCAUUUUCUCUUGCAGAUAUUUUAUGCGAAAUUCGAGGGACGGUGAACUGAUACCAGCUGAUCCAGAAAUCGAACGUACUUUUCAUCGUAGACAAAGAGAAGCAAGAGAAAUAAAACAACAAGAGAUGGUCAACACACAAAAUAAUCCGAUUAUUGAAAUGAACGAAGGAGUUGUGGUCGAUGAAGGGAACAUGCUGGUUGGGAACUUCAUGACUCCACAAAUUAUUCAGAGCGAAUCUAACAUCGUUUACCCUCCGUUUGGGCAGCCGAACUUUCAGUUGAAAACCAAUGUCAUCCAGUUGUUUCAAAAUGGACAUCAAUUAUAUGGUGGAAAUUUCUAAAUGUACACAAUGAAAUCCCGAAUCUUGUAUAUAAUGCUGAUGUGACGAUAAAUUUGAAUCAAAAAAACGUGUAGUGUGGUCAAAAUAUCUUCUAUAGGGUUAGGGUUCAUUUCACAAGAAAAUCACAAUUUCUCUCACUUUCCUCUAUCUUCAGACGCUCUCUCUCUGUCUAUAUGGGUGGGGUUCAUUUAACAUUUCACAGGAAAAUUCACAAUUUCUCUCUCUUUCAGACGCACUCUCUCUCUCUCUCUCUAAACAGGGGACGAAAUCCCUUUCUGCAACCCUCGAUUUAUAUUGGGGACGAAGAGUUCCGUCAAAUAGCCGGUGACGAGGAGAACGGGGAAGACGACGGCA